GCCGAUGAUGAAACGUCAGCAUACUGAGAAAUGAUGAGAGACUUCCCUGAGGU
rnacentral:misc_RNA from 1 species